GAGAAGAACAUAAUAAUUCAGCAAUUAAUCUACAUAACUUGAAGUAGGCUUGAAAGCAGAAAAGGGAUUAUGUUGGUAAUUCUAUUGGGUCCCCAUGAUACAAACAGAGAAUUUUGUUUUCAAAGUCUAAAUCAAAAACGUUGGUUUUACAAUUGCACUUAUAGUUUCCAAAGACUCAACUACAUUUCCUAUUUCGCAAUUUCUAUCACAGUUGUGAUGGAAAUUGCGAAAUAGGAAGCGCAGUUCAUUGUCUUUGACAUUAAAAAGGAAGUCGUCAUUUGAAGGAAAAAAGAGCACAUUAUCAUUUGCUGAUUGGGUAGACUGCAAACAGUGCACAACCUUUACUACAGUGAGCACUUCUCUUCGCUUUAGUUUAUGCAAUGCAACAGGGAAUUGCCACCAGAACAUUCAAGCAUAUCAACUUCUGAUCGGUAACAGACACACUGAGUGUUUGUCAACACUUCCAACUUUCCAAGGAUACUUCUCGAUACAAAUGGCAUUUCUCUUUGCUGCAGGAGCUGCAGCUUUAUUGGCAUUAAAACUUGUGCAAGACACAGAGGUGCAUCAUAUCUCUGUUGCAAAUUCAACCAUUCAACCCAUUGUUGUUGUUGUUGAAAACUCCAGGGGUAAAAAUCAAUCGAUAAUAGAAGCAGGGGAGUUUGUGCAAUUCACGGUGUCAUGUAACACACCCAUAUCUAUCAAAGUGAGAAAGCCGGAGAAAACUACCUACGACGCCGAGGUGAGCGAUUACGAACGUCGCAAUUUCAUUGUGAGAAAAGCGACAACAGGGGAAUUGGUCCUCGUUCGAGCUCAAAAAGGGAUGCAGUGGGAAGUUGAGCCUAACAGAACUAAUGAGGACUUGGGAAUGGCACGUGUUCGACAUGUCACAGAAGGGGAGCUGUAUUCUUCAUGGAGUCAUCCACAGGGUCGUCCAUCUUUCUAUGACGGGAAGAAUAACUCUGAUUAUUAUGCAUAGGCUUCCAGCCUCUAAAUCUAGUCUGGUAAAUGACAGUGGUAAAGUGGCGUAUCCAGGGUUCUCUGGUGAGAGGGGCAAGGACAAGGGGGGCUGGGGGAGGGGGGUUAAACCCCCUUUAGUUUUUUAUGUGUGUAUUUUUGAGCAAA
rnacentral:lncRNA from 15 species